UCUGAGGGCAAUCUGGCUGAGACAUCCAUCACUGCAUUGAUCACCAGGGUUGAUUCAGAUCAGCUCUCUGACUAGGCAAGUGUCCGCUUCCUCUCUCACCAUCCAAUGUGUGUCCCCUCCCAAACCUGUGUGCUCAGUGGAAGAGGACAAUCACUCUCAAAAGAGGAGGAUCGUUUCCUCGGUCAACUGUAUAUGAGUAGCUGCACUCUAUUGCUAUAAUCUCCAAACAUGCUCUCAGAACCUGACUAGAGUCCUGUAAUCCCCACUGCUUCACUCAUGAGCAUCACGGUCCUUGGGGUCAUGGUGUGCGAGUGAU
ensembl:misc_RNA 7SK 7SK RNA